rnacentral:tRNA from 1 species
GGUUCCGUGGCCGAGUGGCUAGGCAGAGGUCUGCAAAACCUUGUACACCAGUUCGAAUCUGGUCGGAACCU